AAAAUAAGCCGGGCGUGGUGGCACGCGCCUGUAGUCCCAGUUACUUGGGAGGUUGAGGCAGGAGAAUCACUUGAACCCAAAAAUCAAACUAAAUAUUCGCCACUAUUUUCUUCUGGUUGUUUUAUGGUUAUUGUUUUUACAUGUAACCUUUUCACCUUUCCACAAUGUAUGCUGCUACACAUCCUGAGGACCCAGCUCCCUUCAUUUCUAAAUACUCUGCUAUUCAGUGCAAUCUGAGUUGCCAUCUUUAUCGGGCCCCAAAUUCUGACUUGGAUCAUGGUUUGUUUCAGAAUUUAUCUGUUUACUGUUGGCCUGGAGACUCGGGAAGCAGUGGCAGGCAUACCUCAGAAGCACCUCAGCCCUUGCCUUGCGCUCUCACAUUGGACAGCACGGCAUCCUCUUCAUUAUCCCUCUCGCACGUUUGCCUUGGUUAUCCUUGUGUCCCAGACAAUUUAGAACCAAGGUAACCAGAACCUCUCCCCAUGUUUUGUCUGGACAUGGGUUACCUGUACUAAGUAUUCUGGGGAAAGGCCCGCAGUGGUAUGGGGAGGCCUGUUGUAUCUGACCCAGCCCACGAAGAGCCUCCCCUGGUCUGUGCCGGGCCUCACACACUCCACCCUGACCACUCCUACAACACCAGGCUUGAGCCGUGUAAUCCA